rnacentral:rRNA from 1 species
GACGAACGCUGGCGGCGUGCUUAACACAUGCAAGUCGAACGAUGACGACCGAGCUUGCUCGGUCUGAUUAGUGGCGAACGGGUGAGUAACACGUGAGCAACCUGCCCUUCACUCUGGGAUAACCUCGGGAAAUCGGGGCUAAUACCGGAUAUGAGCUCCUGUCGCAUGGCGGGUGUUGGAAAGUUUUUCGGUGAAGGAUGGGCUCGCGGCCUAUCAGUUUGUUGGUGAGGUAGUGGCUCACCAAGGCGAUGACGGGUAGCCGGCCCGAGAGGGCGACCGGCCCCACUGGGACUGAGAGCCCGGCCCGACCCCCAAGGGAGGGAGGAGGGGGGAAGAUUUGACAAAGGGGGGAAGGCCGAUGGCGGCGAGCCGCGUGGGGGAUGGAGGGCUUUCGGGUUGAAACCCUUUUUCCGCGGGAAGAAGGGGAAGGGAAGGGAACCGGCAAAGAAGCCCCGGCUAACCCAGUG